ensembl:lncRNA
UAAUUAAUGCAAUUUACAGUCAAGCCAAAGAGCGAACUAUAUUAAGUGAUACGUAUUCACAUUAUGUCCUAACAGGGUUUACAGCAUAUCUUGUGUUCUGUAAGCAUAAUUGUUACAAAAAGAAAAAAAAAAAGAAAACGUAUAAGAGAAAUCAAAGCUUACAAUAACAAGAACAAGGAGCUUAGCAGUGGAUUUGAAACAUAUGAAAUGAGCAAAAGACCCUCACCAGAACAGGAAUGACAGCAAAUUCAGUUUUGGCAUGUUGUGGUUUAAAUAAGGGAGUAAAAGAGAUAGAGAAACUAAAAUAUAUGCAAAAUAUAAGUGAGCUCAAAAUGACAGGAGGAAAGGGAGGUUUGAAUUCACGCGGCUUUGCAGGGCUACCUCUGCCAAGAGACUUUGGUCACUUUGCUUCUCUGUCAUGGCUUAUAAUUAUAAGAAAGAAAAGAAAAAAAAGGAGUGUCCUGGUAUUAGUUCUGAGUUAAUUUUGUAUCAAUUUUGAUUAUCUUCUGUCAGAAAACAACAACAAAAAAGUUUUGUAGUCAACUGCAACUCCAGGACAGACUGUACAUUCUCAGGAGGUAGAUAACAUGAAGUCUUAAAAGAAAGCGUGUCUAAAUUGGAAUCGAGCUCUUUGUCAAGUCUGUGAAACUGUAGUGCAUAAUUUGUUUAAGGCCAAAUAGGAACCUCACUUGUAGAUCUAAGGCUAUUUUAAGACAAAGGGUGUCAGGGUGGAGGAGGGAAGUGCACGGGAUGGGAUGGAGGGGUGGAGGACAGGGUGAGCAGAUACAGCCCUUACAUGUCAGUGCCUGAGUCAACAGUCGCGCUUUACCACAGCUGCUCGGUGCACGUCAACCCUUGGUUAACUGAACCCAAUCUUUUUUUUUCCUUUUUGGCUACGCACAUGCAGGGAAGAUGCCAAAAAAAAAAGGAUAAAAUAAAAUAGAAAAGGACGCAGAAAUGAGACGAGGAAUAUUCUGAUUGACAUUAUGACUUGCAUAAAUGACACGUUAUUUGGCCACAUGGUGUAACAUGUUACAAGAAGAGCUAUCAGCGUGGGCACAGCCUGAAGUGACAUUCAAACCUCCCCUAGAGGGGAAAAUUAUGUUACUGGACAAUAUGAAGCACACUAAAAGAACAAAACAAAACAAAAAAAGGUCAAUGCAGCAUAUAUCAGGCUUAUGAGGUACUUCAUGAAUAUAUAGAUAUAUCAAUGUUUUUAGAAAAGCUCCUCCGAGUCAUAUUAUUCCUUAUAAUUCCUAUUGAUAGCGUAAAAUACCUCGUCAGUUUUAUUCUUAUUAUCAGCCCAAUCUCAGAUGGGCCUCCUUUUUUUUUCUUUUUUUUUUUUCUUGAGACCGCUUUGAAAGUGCAAAACACAAAUACUGAUCGUUCUAUGCAGCAUCUACACACGAGGUUGCAUGGUAGUUAAAACUUUUUUUUCUUUUUUACUUUUUAUGCGGCAUGACAGAUUUUAGUCAAAACUUUAUUUUGAAAGGACUCACAAAACCCGAGAGAGAGAGAGAGAGAUCCGACAAAAGGCUACGACCUGUACUCAACAACCACACACGACCUCGCGUGUGCCUUCCGUCGGAUUUCAAUUCUUUUUCUUUGUGUGAAGUGUAUUCAGAUGUGGAUUUUCCCUUUGUUAAUGAAAAAUAAUAAUAAUAAUAAUAAUAAUAAUAAUAAUAAAAAAUAAUGGCAUUGAGUGUGGCGAGUACCAGAUGGGGAAAUCCACUCUGGAUUUUAUUGCAGUUUGGGUUGAAAAAAAUGUAGGCAUGUGGUAACAGCGUGGCUCUGUUCACUAAGAAGCCUUGAUAUUUCUAAACUUGCUGGCAAAACAAAAACUGAAAAAGAAGCUGGUUCCAUAAAUUGAGACUAAGUUUGUCUGAUCUCACAGGCAUUUGUCUUGCCAACUAAAAGCCUGCCCACAGUGGACAGACUGGUUUAAAAAGAAAAAGAAAAAACACCAACAAUCUGCAGCCCACGCUCAGGAAAUUUAUUGCUGUGCAUACAUCUUUUCCACAAACCUUCGUCGCCACUACAAACGUCUUUUUAAAAUCAACAGGUUUUGCUGGAUUAUCAACAUGUCAUGAAUUAGCAAUUACGAUGGCACCUUUUAAAAGAUCCAGACAUCUUUUAUAGUUAGCAUUACACGUGAACGAGUCCUAGAUUGUGCUUGGCUGUCUUCAUCGACUCACAUUAAAAACAAUGAGACUCCCGAUAGUAAAAAAAUUUGGUCCGGUAAAAUGUAACCAACUAAAGCAACCAACCAGUCCAUGCAGGAUUACUUAUUAAGGGUGAAAACCCCCCAAAACAGACAGUGCUUUGAUGUGAUAUUGGCUUUCAUUGGUUUGGUCACUACAAUUUCUUCAUUUUGUUGUCACUCAUAAAUUAGGGAUAAUAUUAGCUAGCACCCGACACUGCUCUGAGGUAGUUUUAUCCAAGUCAGUAAAUAAAAAGCCAAGUCGUUCACAAGACUAAAAAUGCUUGGAAAAAUACAAAUAAAAAAUACCCACAAGUCUUGCAUGAUUGGAUUCAUAUAGUUCAGCUUAAUGGUGAUGGCUUGGUUAAGUUCUGUAACGGCUCUCCUCAGUCUAGAUCUGAUUUACUACGUCAUCCAGCCUAACCCUGAAUAGCCACCUGGAUGCAGAUGUGUCACCUGUCAAUGCCACAGCUGCCAGAUUACUGUGUGCUUUUCUGCACCCUGCUGGUUGCCAGAGGAGCUUAGAAGUUCACUUGUGAAUGCACAUAAAUAGCUAUAUUCAAUUAGAAUUUAUAGACAAGAAAUUAGGAUAAAAUGGCAUCCAGCAGGCAAUGAUUUAAAAAAGUGCAGUUCGAGCAUACCAAACCAUCUACUUGACAUUAAAAUAUUCCGUGGAUAAAGAAAAUUCAAGUGCUAACAAAAUGACUGGGAUUGAUCCUUUUAUGAUCAAGACAUUUUCCUGGCCAUUUUUCCACUAGAUGUUUAAUUAGAAACAAAGUAGUACGGCCAACACUGUAAUCUUGCAUUCCCGUUUCUUUGGCUUCAGUCACACAGGUCUAGAGAGUGGUUGGCGAUCCCUGGAAACCUCAAGUGGCCAGGGAACAAUGUUUAUUCCUAACUAGUUGUUAAGUGGUUGCUGGAAGUUCCUGGCUGUCACCAAAACCUUUCUAGUGAAUAGUUUGGUUGCCUAUAUUUUGCAUGGAACAUUCCAACUUGUCUGCAAACACUUGCCAAUUAACCACUGAGUAGUAGUGAAACUGUGAAAAGUGCAAUGCAAAACAAAAACUGUCAUAGUAAAAGUGAAAUUUUAGCUGAAACCAACACGUUUUAAAAGUCACAUCUUUUGCUUUGAUGGCAAACCAGCACCAUUUCCAGUUUGUGUCGCACUUUUCACAGUUUCACUACUGCUUGGUGGUGGUUGCUAAGUGUUUGCAGACAAGUUGGCAUCUCCCAUGCAAACUAGAAGCGACCAUGGAAAUGUGCUAGCAACCAAAACAAGGAGAAUUUUGGCUUAGGGCUGUAUACCCCUUUGCAGCCAACUUGACCUAGUGACCGCAAAAAACAAAACAAAAAACAAAGAAAAAGAAACUUCCAGCAACCACAUUGAAAAAUGGUUGCCAGGCAGUCCCCAACUGGUCUCUAGGCCUGUGUGACUGAUGUCUUAAACACAUCCAAGGUAAAGUGAAUGAAACAGCUGCAUCCAAUGGAAUUGAACAGGUCUUUCCUUAUUGGUACACCACUGGAAUUUAUACUAAUUGUUGACACUUGUAGCUAAAACAAGAAUACAGGCAAACUUUAUGGAUACCAAACGGGCAGCAAAUGGUUACAGAUAAUUGAGUGGACAUUGGCAUAACUGUCAGAGACAAAAAGUGAUGCUUAUUUAGAAAAAAAAAAUCUAUGUCACACAGGAACGGGAUGUUAUGUAUAUGCCAUGUAUAUAUAGGUCAGUUAUAGAUCUAAAAAAAAAAAAAAAAAACAACAACUAAAAAACUAAACAAAACAAAAAACCCAGCUGUGUAGCAAUACAAAUGAAAAAAGGAACAGAAGUAACACUUAAAACAAAAAGCUUCUCUGCAUUUAUGUGGCACUGCACUAAUUAAUGUAAUAAUUCAGGGAGGAUUUUACAAGACAGCUCUGUAGGGGCUGGACAGGAAUACGAGACCCGAGGGCUUAAGCAUACGUUUAAAAUCGAACAGCAAAUGAGAUCACACACCUACGCAAACCACCUAAUAUACACACAAAGCGCUUAUGUUUUAGCACCUCACACAAGUAUGAUGCCAGGACUCAAAGGAUGGCUACUCUUUGCACCAGUGUGAAACAUAUGUCUCCUAAAAGUACAGUAGCCAACAUCCAGAGAAAGACAGCACAACUGUGAAAUUACUACUUUCAUUUCAUAUCAGAAAGAAUAAAAAUAAAAAGAUUAUAUGGUCUGUGACAUGAGCAAUAUUUAAAUGACUGAGAAGAAGAAAACAAUACUUUCUGGAAUUAAUAAAGCCUAUAAAUAAAGAGAAGAAAACAGAAAGAAAAGGCUGUACAUAAGAUGCAAAGAUGAGUAUAAAUGUACUGGAUGGAUAGCCUAUACAACAUUACAAACCACGCAGGUUCUAAUUACAUUCAUUUUUAAUAUAUGGAGCUAGGAAAAUAGGAUCUACUCUACAAGAGAUCUCUUUAUAACAGCAAGAUUUUCUCCACAAGAGACAGAUAAGCGACAGAAAGAGGAGACAUUACUAUACAGAGGGUAAUGGUAUGGAAUUAAUUCAUGUAAGGGGACUGCUUCAUUAGAAAGCCGGCUUUAAUUUUGUACUCCAUGACCAUUAAAAAAAAUGAAAAUAAAUUAAAAAGAAUACUAUUAAUAAAAACAAACAAACAAAAACGCAAAGGCUGAUGGUUACCAUUUGGAGAAAUGUUAUCAUUACCUCUUAAAAACUAAAGAAAAUUAUGAGAAAAUAAUUUGCUGAUUAAAAUAGCUUAUGAUAUGCCAUUUAGUUUACGAAAAAGCUAUUUCUAAAACUUGCUUUAUCCGCGUUUUGGCCGCUCCGAAAGAUAAUGGGAAAACAGCCAAAGUGAGGUGAAUGUGUGCAUUUAAUUGCCUUGUUUGAGAAUGUUUUUAGGGGCAGCACUACAGCUGUUCUGAAAGCCUCACUGCUCCACUUUACUUGAAAAGCAUUGCCACAUUCAUCCAGGCUACAAGUAUUGGUCUGUUAAACAUUCUUGACUGAGCUCAUACUGUAUUUCAUUGUUCUUGUAACAGUCACAAUAAAGUAUUCUGUUCUAUUGUGACGAAGAUGAUUUAUGUGAAAAAGGAAAAGCCUCUUCUGAGUUGUGAUAUGUGUAGUUUGUAGCGAUUUUAGAGAAAAAGAGGCCUUACUAAGAACAACUUAAUGUGCACAUGGCUGUCACAGCCGUGUCAAACCUUAAUACUCAAACACUGUGGCAUUGAUGCGCCGGCUACAAACCCCCCGCAAAUCUCCUGCCUAUGAUUGGCGACACUUGUUGACUGUGCAUCUUUUAUUUUGAAAAGCCACCAAAAUCCAAAAAUCCAGGCUGCCAGCCUGCCCCCUGAUAAACACUCUCAAUACAUGACUAGCUCUAAGUCCUUUGUUUAGUGCAAAGAAAAACAAAAC